rnacentral:rRNA from 1 species
GACAGAGGGUGCAAACGUUGUUCGGAAUUACUGGGCGUAAAGCGCGUGUAGGCUGCUCCGCAAGUCGGAUGUGAAAGCCCUGGGCUCAACCUAGGAAGUGCAUUCGAUACUGCGGAGCUGGAGUCCUGGAGAGGAAGGCGGAAUUCUCGGUGUAGAGGUGAAAUUCGUAGAUAUCGAGAGGAACACCGGUGGCGAAGGCGGCCUUCUGGACAGUGACUGACGCUGAGGCACGAAAGCGUGGGGAGCAAACAGG